AGUCAGGUAACGAGCGAGAUCCCUGCCUCUAGUUGCCACCAUACUCUCAGGAGUAGUGGGGCGAAAUAGCGCGACCGCCGCAGUUAAUGCGGAGGAAGGAAGGGGCUACGGCAGGUCAGUAUGCCCCAAAACUCUGGGGCCACACGCGGGCUGCAAGUAGUGACAAUUGGUUCCGAAUCCGAAAGCGGAGGUAAUCCUCAAACGCUACCACAGUUAUGAGUGAGGGCUGCAACUCGCCCUCACUAAUAUGGAAUCCCUAGUAACUGCGUGUCAUUAUCGCGCGGUGAAUACGUCCCUGCUCCUUGCAC
rnacentral:rRNA from 1 species